UACGUAGGGUGCAAGCGUUGUCCGGAAUUAUUGGGCGUAAAGAGCUCGUAGGCGGUUUGUCGCGUCUGCUGUGAAAACUCGGGGCUUAACUCCGGGCCUGCAGUGGGUACGGGCAGACUAGAGUGCGGUAGGGGAGACUGGAAUUCCUGGUGUAGCGGUGAAAUGCGCAGAUAUCAGGAGGAACACCGGUGGCGAAGGCGGGUCUCUGGGCCGUAACUGACGCUGAGGAGCGAUAGCGUGGGGAGCGAACAGG
rnacentral:rRNA from 1 species